rnacentral:rRNA from 2 species
CCCUUUGAUUUUGGGGGUUAAAAUAUGUGUAGUAUUUUUUAAUACAUGCUAGUUAACAUGCGUAUAGGUGAGGAAAAUAGUGAUAUUACACAACAUGUUACCAGGUUAAAUUAAUUUAAUAUUUUAUUUAUCCGAAGACGACUAGAAAACUCCACAUUUUUACUGAAACAAAGAAAAACAUUAGCAGCAGUAUAGAAUAUUGUACAAUUUAUUAUAAUUAGAUACAGAAAAUACUAAUAGAAUUGUCAUAUCAGGUGCCAGCAGACGCGGUUACACCUGAGAUUCAAAUUUUUUUAAUAAAAAAGGCAAAAAGAAUGUAAAUGAAUUUUCAUAUAAGGGCUAGAAAUUUUAUGAAAAGAUAAAAUAUGUCGAUAUAAAAUAUAAUCCUAUAAAUAAUAAAAUCCCUUUAUAAUUCUACAACAUGAAAUAAUAGAAAGUAAAUAGGAUUAGAUACCCUAGUAGCCUAUUACUUAAAUAAAGAAUUCUUUCUAAGAAGGACUAUCCGCCUGAGUAUUAUAAUCAACUGAUUGAAAUUCAAAAAAUCUGGCUGUUCGUUUUCCCAUUAGAGGAUUGUGUACCUUAAAUCGAUAGUCCGCGAGCUACCUUACCUUAAUUUGAUAUUCAGGCGCUGCAUGGCCGUCUUCAGUUUGUAUGUAAAAUCAACAAAUUUAACUUUACAAAAAAUUAAGUCAGGUAUUAUGGCCUUUAUAUUAAGGAGGUUAUGCAAUACAGUAAUUUAACCAAACCAAUAUAAAUUGCGAAUAAAAUUUUUAAAAACUUUUAGAAGUUGAAUUUAAUAGUAAUCAUAAAAUAGAGAAUUGUGGUGAAUUGGUUCAAACGUUAGUACAAAUCGCCCGUCACCUUUAGUAAUUGAUAAAAUUAUUUCCCUAAUUAAAUAACAAAAACUAAAGCAAGUCGUAACAUAGUGAGGGGAAGGGAACUUCUCCUUGAAAGUUUUU